UCCCUGAUAGCUCAGUUGGUAAAGAACCUGUCUGCAGUGCAGGAAACCCCAGUUCAAUUACUGGGUCAGGAA
rfam:Ovis aries breed Texel chromosome 4, whole genome shotgun sequence.